rnacentral:rRNA from 1 species
UUUUACCUACGGGGCGCAGCAGUGAGGAAUAUUGGUCAAUGGCCGGAAGGCUGAACCAGCCAAGCCGCGUGAAGGACGAAGGUGCCAAGCAUUGUAAACUUCUUUUGUCAAGGGACAAAAUCAGGCUCGAGAGCCUGACCGAGGGUACUUGAAGAAAAAGCAUCGGCUAACUCCGUGCCAGCAGCCGCGGUAAUACGGAGGAUGCGAGCGUUAUCCGGAUUUAUUGGGUUUAAAGGGUGCGUAGGCGGACUGUCAAGUCAGCGGUAAAAUACGGGGGCUCAACCUCCGCCCGCCGUUGAAACUGA